rnacentral:rRNA from 1 species
AGAGUUCGAUCAUGGCUCAGGAUGAACGCUGGCGGCGUGCUUAACACAUGCAAGUCGAACGAAGCACUGGGAAACGGAGAUUUCGGUUGAAGUUUUCCUUUGACUGAGUGGCGGACGGGUGAGUAACGCGUGGGUAACCUGCCCUGUACAGGGGGAUAACAGUUAGAAAUGAUUGCUAAUACCGCAUAAGCGCACAGCUCCGCAUGGAGCGGUGUGAAAAACUGAGGUGGUACAGGAUGGGCCCGCGUUGGAUUAGCUAGUUGGCGGAGUAACGGCCCACCAAGGCGACGAUCCAUAGCCGGCCUGAGAGGGUGAACGGCCACAUUGGGACUGAGACACGGCCCAA